UACCAGCCCCCUGAGUGAUAGAGACGAUUAUUUAGCCUAAAGCGUUCGUAGCCGGCUUAGCAAGUUUUCGUCAAAUCUGGCGACUUAAUCGUUAGAACGCGGAAAAUACUGUUAGGCUAGAGGGCGGGAGAGGUUGACGGUAUUCCAGGAGUAGGGGUGAAAUCCUGUAAUCCCUGGAGGACCACCAGUGGCGAAGGCGGUCAACUAGAACGCGCCUGACGGUGAUGGACGAAAGCUGGGGGAGCAAAACCGGAUUAGACACCCGGGUAGUCCCAGCUGUAAACGAUGCGGGCUAGGUGUUGGGACAGCCACGUGCUGCUCCAGUGCCGCAGAGAAGUUGUUAAGCCCGCCGCUUGGGAAGUACGGUCGCAAGGCUGAAACUUAAAGGAAUUGGCGGGGAGCACCACAAGGGGUGAAGGCUGCGGUUUA
rnacentral:rRNA from 1 species